AGUCAUAUGCUUGUCUCAAAGAUUAAGCCAUGCAUGUCUCAGUACAAGCCUCAUUAAGGUGAAACCGCGAAAGGCUCAUUAAAUCAGUUAUGGUUCCUUAGAUCGUACCCACACUUACUUGGAUAACUGUGGUAAUUCUAGAGCUAAUACAUGCAAACAGAGCUCCGACCGGAGACGGAAGGAGUGCUUUUAUUAGAUCAAAACCAAUCGGCGGCGGGCGCGUUCGCGCGUCCGUUCGCCGCUCAACCUGGUGACUCUGAAUAACUUUCGGCUGAUCGCACGGUCUCGCACCGGCGACGCAUCUUUCAAAUGUCUGCCUUAUCAACUGUCGAUGGUAGGUUCUGCGCCUACCAUGGUCGUAACGGGUAACGGGGAAUCAGGGUUCGAUUCCGGAGAGGGAGCCUGAGAAACGGCUACCACAUCCAAGGAAGGCAGCAGGCGCGCAAAUUACCCACUCCCGGCACGGGGAGGUAGUGACGAAAAAUAACGAUACGGGACUCAUCCGAGGCCCCGUAAUCGGAAUGAGUACACUUUAAAUCCUUUAACGAGGAUCAAUUGGAGGGCAAGUCUGGUGCCAGCAGCCGCGGUAAUUCCAGCUCCAAUAGCGUA
rnacentral:rRNA from 5 species